rnacentral:tRNA from 1 species
GGAGGGGUGUCCGAGCGGUUUAUGGAGCUGGUCUUGAAAACCAGUGACUCACGUAAGUGGGCCGUGGGUUCGAAUCCCACCCCCUCCGCCA